rnacentral:rRNA from 1 species
AACGCUGGCGGCGUGCCUAAUACAUGCAAGUCGAGGGGCAACACGGGUAGCAAUACCUGGUGGCGACCGGCGCAAGGGUGCGUAACGCGUGAGCAACAUGCCCUAUACAGGGGGAUAAUCCAGGGAAACUUGGUCUAAUAUCCCAUAGUAUUUAGAGGAGGCAUCUUCUAUAAAUUAAAGCUUCGGUGGUAUAGGAUUGGCUCGCGUGACAUUAGCUAGAUGGUGAGGUAACGGCUCACCAUGGCAAUGAUGUCUAGGGGUUCUGAGAGGAAGGCCCCCCACACUGGGACUGAGACACGGCCCAGACUCCUACGGGAGGCAGCAGUGAGGAAUAUUGGACAAUGGAUGGAAAUCUGAUCCAGCCAUGCCGCGUGCAGGAAGACAGCCCUAUGGGUUGUAAACUGCUUUUAUAUGGGAGCAAUAAGGUCUACGUGUAGACUGAUGAGAGUACCAUAUGAAUAAGCAUCGGCUAACUCCGUG